rnacentral:pre_miRNA from 1 species
CAUAAUUGGUUGACGACGAGAGAGAGCACACUUGUUAGCAUUCAUGCUGUGGUCAUGGGCGUCUAUAAGUGUGCUCUCUGCCGUCGUCAUACAAUAUGCUC